UGAACUAUAGCCAAGUUGGUAAGGCCCAGAGCUUUGGACUCUGCAUCCCUGGUUCGAGACCAGGUAGUUCAACCA
rnacentral:tRNA from 1 species